rnacentral:rRNA from 1 species
AGGGCGCAUGGUGAAUGCCUUGGCAUCAGGAGCCGAUGAAGGACGUGAUAAGCUGCGAUAAGCUUCGGGUAGGCGCACAUAGCCAGUGAUCCGGAGAUUUCCGAAUGUGGGAACACACAUGGGAAACCCCAUGUAUCGUAUAGUGAAUACAUAGCUAUACGAGGGUAAACCUAGGGAACUGAAACAUCUAAGUACCUAGAGGAAGAGAAAGAAAAAUCGAUUUCCUAAGUAGCGGCGAGCGAAAGGGAAAGAGCCCAAACCAAAGAUUUAUCUUUGGGGUUGCGGACAGAACAUUAACGAGAAGUCGUGAUUAACCGAACACAACUGGAAAGUUGGACCGUAGGAGGUAAUAGUCCUGUAGGUGAAAGUCAAGAUAAUCAAGUUCUGAUCCAGAGUACCACGAGACACGUGAAACCUUGUGGGAAGCAGGGAGGACCACCUCCCAAGGCUAAAUACUACCUGAUGACCGAUAGUGAAGCAGUACCGUGAGGGAAAGGUGAAAAGAACCCCGGGAGGGGAGUGAAAUAGAACCUGAAACCGUGUGCCUACAACCGGUCAAAGCCCCUUAUGAGGGUGAUGACGUGCUUUUUGUAGAACGAGCCAACGAGUUACGGUAUGUAGCAAGGUUAAGUACUUAAGGUACGGAGCCGAAGGGAAACCGAGUCUUAAUAGGGCGACUAGUUGCAUGCCGUAGACCCGAAACCGGGUGACCUAUCCAUGGCCAGGUUGAAGCGAGGGUAAAACUUCGUGGAGGACCGAACCACGUUGCUGUUGAAAAAGCAUGGGAUGAGCUGUGGAUAGCGGAGAAAUUCCAAUCGAACUCGGAGAUAGCUGGUUCUCCCCGAAAUAGCUUUAGGGCUAGCGUCGGAUAUGUGUAGUGGAGGUAGAGCACUGAAUGGGCUAGGGGGCAUAUCGCUUACCGAACCUUAUCAAACUCCGAAUGCCAUAUACAUUAAGUCCGGCAGUCAGACUACGAAUGAUAAGAUCCGUGGUCAAAAGGGAAACAGCCCAGACCGUCAGCUAAGGUCCCAAAGUGUAAGUUAAGUGGAAAAGGAUGUGGGAUUUCUAAGACAACUAGGAUGUUGGCUUAGAAGCAGCCACUCAUUUAAAGAGUGCGUAAUAGCUCACUAGUCGAGAGAUCCUGCGCCGAAAAUGUACCGGGGCUAAACUUACCACCGAAGCUACGGAUUUGCAAGUAAUUGCAAGUGGUAGGGGAGCGUCGUAAUCGGGCUGAAGUCGUACCGGAAGGAGCGGUGGACUGAUUACGAGUGAGAAUGUUGGCAUUAGUAGCGAGAUGUAGGUGAGAAUCCUACAGGCCGAAUAUCUAAGGUUUCCUCAGGAAGGCUCGUCCGCUGAGGGUUAGUCGGGACCUAAGCCGAGGCCGAAAGGCGUAGGCGAUGGACAAUCGGUUGAUAUUCCGAUACCACUACCAUCGUUAUUAUCGAGGGUGUGACGGAGAAGGAUAGUGUGUGCUAGCGAUUGGAAAUGCUAGUCUAAGCGUUUAGGGAGUUACGGUAGGCAAAUCCGCUGUAACAAUUCUGAGGCGUGAUGGGGAAGGUCAUUAAGACCGAAGUACAUGAUUCCAUGCUUCCAAGAAAAGCAUCUAGAGAGAGAAGUAGUGCCCGUACCGCAAACCGACACAGGUAGAUGAGGAGAGAAUCCUAAGGCCGGCGGAAGAAUUGCAGUUAAGGAACUAGGCAAAUUGACCCCGUAAGUUCGCGAGAAGGGGUGCCUGCGAGAGCAGGCCGCAGAGAAUAGGCCCAAGCAACUGUUUAGCAAAAACACAGGUCUCUGCUAAAGCGUAAGCUGAUGUAUAGGGGCUGACGCCUGCCCGGUGCUGGAAGGUUAAGGGGAACACUUAGCGCAAGCGAAGGUGUGAACUUAAGCCCCAGUAAACGGCGGCCGUAACUAUAACGGUCCUAAGGUAGCGAAAUUCCUUGUCAGGUAAGUUCUGACCCGCACGAAUGGCGUAAUGACUUGGGCACUGUCUCAACUGCAAAUCCGGCGAAGUUGUAGUGCGAGUGAAGAUGCUCGCUACCCGCGAUUGGACGGAAAGACCCCGUAGAGCUUUACUGUAGCUUAGCAUUGAAUUCCGGUAUUGUCUGUACAGGAUAGGUGGGAGACUGGGAAACUAGGGCGUCAGCCUUAGUGGAGUCAACCUUGGGAUACCACCCUGACAGUACUGGGGUUCUAACAGGACGCCAUGAAGCUGGUGACUGGACAUUGUUAGGUGGGCAGUUUGACUGGGGCGGUCGCCUCCUAAA